rfam:Virgibacillus soli strain PL205 scaffold000002, whole genome shotgun sequence.
CACUAGGGAACGCAGGCUAAAUUCGCGCCGUCCUGGCGGCAGGCUCAAAGCGCAACUUCCUGUUGCUUCACCUACACUAGUACUUCCUUGUACGUCGCAACGCCUGCAUGUCCCACAUCCUGUAGG